rnacentral:rRNA from 1 species
GAUGAACGCUGGCGGCGUGCCUAAUACAUGCCAGUCGAGCGAACAGACGAGGAGCUUGCUCCUCUGACGUUAGCGGCGGACGGGUGAGUAACACGUGGAUAACCUACCUAUAAGACUGGGAUAACUUCGGGAAACCGGAGCUAAUACCGGAUAAUAUAUUGAACCGCAUGGUUCAAUAGUGAAAGACGGUUUUGCUGUCACUUAUAGAUGGAUCCGCGCCGCAUUAGCUAGUUGGUAAGGUAACGGCUUACCAAGGCGACGAUGCGUAGCCGACCUGAGAGGGUGAUCGGCCACACUGGAACUGAGACACGGUCCAGACUCCUACGGGAGGCAGCAGUAGGGAAUCUUCCGCAAUGGGCGAAAGCCUGACGGAGCAACGCCGCGUGAGUGAUGAAGGUCUUCGGAUCGUAAAACUCUGUUAUUAGGGAAGAACAAAUGUGUAAGUAACUAUGCACGUCUUGACGGUACCUAAUCAGAAAGCCACGGCUAACUACGUG